UUUGAUUCUGACUCCGAUUGAACGCUGGCGGGAUGCUUUACACAUAUGCAAGUCGAACGGCAGCACGGACUUCGGUCUGGUGAGUGGCGAACGGGUGAGUAAUGUAUCGGAAGCGUGCCUAAUGUAAGGGGAUAACUGCGAAAGCGUAGCUAAUACCACAUACGCCCUUCCAGGAAAGCGGGGGACCUUCGGGCCUCGCGCACUAUUAAGAGCGGCCGAUAUCGGAUUAGCUAGUUGGUGGGGUAACGGCUCACCAAGGCGACGAUCCGUAGCUGGUUUGAGAGGACGACCAGCCACACUGGGACUGAGACACGGCCCAGACUCCUACGGGAGGCAGCAGUGGGGAAUUUUGGACAAUGGGGAAACCCUGAUCCAGCCAUCCGCGUGUGCGAUGAAGGCCUUCGGGUUGUAAAAAGCACUUUUGGCAGGAAAGAAACGGCACGGGAUAAUACCCCGUGCAACUGACGGUACCUGCAGAAUAAGCACCGGCUAACUACGUGCCAGCAGCCGCGGUAAUACGUAGGGUGCAAGCGUUAAUCGGAAUUACUGGGCGUAAAGCGUGCGCAGGCGGUUCGGAAGAAGAUGUGAAAUCCCAGAGCUUAACUGGAACUGCAUUUUUAACUACCGAGCUAGAGUGUGUCAGAGGAGGUGGAAUUCCGCGUGUAGCAGUGAAAUGCGUAGAUAUGCAGAGGAACACCGAUGGCGAAGGCAGCCUCCUGGGAUAACACUGACGCGCUCAUGCACGAAAGCGUGGGG
rnacentral:misc_RNA from 1 species